AGAUUGAACGCUGGCGGCGUGCCUAACACAUGCAAGUCGAGCGGUAACAGGUGUAGCAAUACAUGCUGACGAGCGGCGAACGGGUGAGUAAUGCUUUGGAAUCUUCCCAGUAGUGGGGAAUAACCAGUCGAAAGAUUGGCUAAUACCGCAUACGUCUGUAAAGGGAAAGCGGGGGCUCGUAAGACCUCGCGCUAUUGGAUGAGCCAAAGUCGGAUUAGCUAGUUGGUGGGGUAAUGGCCUACCAAGGCGACAAUCCGUAGCUGGUCUGAGAGGACGACCAGCCACACCGGAACUGAGACACGGUCCGGACUCCUACGGGAGGCAGCAGUGGGGAAUAUUGGACAAUGGGGGAAACCCUGAUCCAGCGACGCCGCGUGUGUGAAGAAGGCCUGCGGGUUGUAAAGCACUUUUAGUGGGGACAAAAAGCUACGGAUUAAUACUCUGUGGUCUUGAUUUAACCCAAAGAAAAGCACCGGCUAACUCUGUGCCAGCAGCCGC
rnacentral:rRNA from 1 species